UACGAGAGGCCCAAACGUUAUUCGGAAUUACUGGGCUUAAAGAGUUCGUAGGCGGCGCAGAAAGUAGGGUGUGAAAGCCCUCGGCUCAACCGAGGAAUUGCGCUCUAAACUACUGUGCUCGAGGAAUCUAGAGGUGAGCGGAACUGAUGGUGGAGCGGUGAAAUGCGUUGAUAUCAUCAGGAACACCGGAGGCGAAGGCGGCUUGCCAGAACGCGCUCGACGGUGAGGGAUGAAAGCUGGGGGAGCAAACCGG
rnacentral:rRNA from 1 species